AGAGUUUGAUCAUGGCUCAGGAUGAACGCUAGCGGGCGUGCUAAUGCAUGCAAGUCGAACGGUAACCUUUUGGACUCGUCUAAAGGUGAGAGUGGCGAACGGGUGAGUAACACGUUGGUGACCUACCCCAGAGAGGGGGAUAACCAUUGGAAACGAUGGCUAAUACCCCAGAUGUCGUGACUGUUAGAGGGUCACGACUAAAGCUCCGGCGCUCUGGGAGGGGCCUGCGGCCCAUCAGCUAGUUGGUAGGGUAACGGCCUACCAAGGCGAAGACGGGUAGGGGGCGUGAGAGCGUGACCCCCCACACUGGUACUGACACACGGACCAGAUACCUACGGGUAGCAGCAGCAAGGAAUAUUGCCCAAUGGACGAAAGUCUGAGGCAGCAACGCCGCGUGGAGGAAGAAGGCCUUCGGGUUGUAAACUCCUUUUCUGGGGGAAGAGAAAGGACGGUACCCCAGGAAUAAGUCUCGGCUAACUACGUGCCAGCAGCCGCGGUAAAACGUAGGAGGCGAGCGUUAUCCGGAUUUACUGGGCGUAAAGCGCGUGCAGGCGGUUUCCUAAGUCGGACGUGAAAGCUCCCGGCUCAACUGGGAGAGGUCGUUCGAAACUAGGAAACUUGAGGGUGGUAGAGGAGAGUGGAAUUCCCGGUGUAGUGGUGAAAUGCGUAGAUAUCGGGAGGAACACCAGUGGCGAAGGCGGCUCUCUGGGCCACUCCUGACGCUAAGACGCGAAAGCUAGGGGAGAGAACGGGAUUAGAAACCCCGGUAUUCCUAGCCGUAAACGAUGUCAACUAGGUGUAGGGGGUAUCCAACCCCCCUGUGCUGCAGCUAACGCGUUAAGUUGACCGCCUGGGGACUACGGCCGCAAGGCUAAAACUCAAAUGAAUUGACGG
rnacentral:rRNA from 1 species